GAUGAAGAACGUAGCGAAAUGCGAUACGUAAUGUGAAUUGCAGAAUUCAGUGAAUCAUCGAGUCUUUGAACGCACAUUGCGCCCUCUGGUAUUCCGGAGGGCAUGCCUGUCCGAGCGUCAUUGCUGCCCUCAAGCACGGCUUGUGUGUUGGGCUCCGUCCCCGAUCCCGGGGGACGGGCCCGAAAGGCAGCGGCGGCACCGCGUCCGGUCCUCGAGCGUAUGGGGCUUUGUCACCCGCUCUGUAGGCCCGGCCGGCGCUUGCCGAUCAACCAAAUUUUUAUCCAGGUUGACCUCGGAUCAGGUAGGGAUACCCGCUGAACUUAAGCAUAUCAAUAAGCGGAGGA
rnacentral:misc_RNA from 1 species